rnacentral:rRNA from 1 species
UACGUAGGUGGCAAGCGAUACUCGGAAUUACUGGGCGUAAAGCGCGUGUAGGCGGUUGUCCAAGUUGGAUGUGAAAGCCUUGAGCUUAACUCAAGAAAUGCACUCAGGACUGGAUGACUAGAGGACCGGAGAGGAUAGUGGAAUUCCCAGUGUAGUGGUGAAAUACGUAGAGAUUGGGAAGAACACCAGUGGCGAAGGCGGCUAUCUGGACGGUUUCUGACGCUAAGACGCGAAAGCGUGGGGAGCAAACAGG